rnacentral:lncRNA from 1 species
AUGAUUAAAAUGUCCCCAGCUCCCUGCCCCAGCGCCAUGGGCCUCACAAGGAGGUCAGAGGGGUUCAGUCCCCCUAACCAUUCCCCCGGGGCCCAAGCCUCUUCCCACUCCAGCCAUGCUGGGAAGGCAAUAGUAUCGGGGAGUGGUGGGGGUUUAAGGUGCAAAGAGUAUAACAAACAAAAUUGUAUAAACACAAUAGGAAAGAGCUUAACUAGGAAACAUGUAGCUUAUGGAACCUUCCUCCCCAUAUUAAAGGCAGGAAUAAAGACAUUAAAUGACAACAAAAAAGGGUUUCCUAUUAGUGCUAGCCUCAUGGGGGCAAGCAAUUGGGUCUAUGCAGUGCUAUGGGCGGCCCACCCACUGGUGCAGAGGCCCAGGAGGGAUGAGGAUGCUGGAGCCAGCCAGGGACAGGUUGUGGCAGGGUCUAGAGGGAGGAUAAGGCCUAGAGCGGGCCUUUGGGGGAGCAGAGAUGGACAGAGCCACACUUGUUCCUUCUGGUGUGGGAUAUAUGGCCAGAGUAGCUGGUGAGGAACUGGGGUGCUCUGUGAGUAGCCACCCUGCCCCUGCCCCACUAAUAGCACCUUGAAACCCUACCAACACUGUCCAAGCCUCAUCCUAGAACUCUGCCCCCGAAGCUGGUGCUGCCAGUCAGUCUGUCUGCCCACCCAGGGUCUGGCUCACAGUGCUGUGAGGCACAGCAGCUUCUGGGGACAUCUCUGGGACUCAGGACCCUUGGUGCCACCUGGUGCAGGUCAGGGAUCCCUGGGCCUGCUGGCAGCAGAGUGAGUGGGGAAGGCAAGUCCCUGGGGUCCAGCCCCUGCCUGCCCUGCUCCACACAGUGCAGCACUGGUUUGCAGUCUUCGCACCUCGCCACCCCCCACUCCCCACGCUCACCCGGGUCCAGUCUCAGGCCCUGCCUCAGUGCUUGUGGCCCUCAGACUGGGUCUACAACUCCUCAAGGGUUUGCGGGGGUGGCACACCAACUUCUCCCCAAACUCUCCAAGAUGAGGAAGCAAAUUAGGGGCAUAGGGGACAUGGGGAUAGGCUGCCGAGGCUGACCCAGGCUCCACCUGGCCAACCCCUCUAGUGCAGGCCUUGGCAGAGGGACUGGCCACACCUGCUGCCCAGGCCCCUUUCUUUCUGCUGCAGACCCCCAGCACCCCCCUCACCUGGAGGCGGGUACUGCAAAUAGUUUCUUUUUCCUUCACUUCCAAAAAAAAAAAAAAAAUAGUAAAGGCUUCAAGGAGUCACAGAAAGUGGGGGCACUUGGUAGUGAGGUGCCCUCCACCAGCUCUGGGGGCCGCCAGCCUACACACCCCUCAUAGUCGGGGCCUCAGGCAGGGCACAUCCAGCCACUUCUGGACGUGGAGCAGGGCCCGGGCCCGCACUGCUGUGCUCCCCAGAAAGGCAGUGGGUCCCUCCUGGAGUGGGCCCUGGCUCCAGGCCCCAGCGGGU